rnacentral:misc_RNA from 1 species
GAAGUCUUUAAAAGUCUCUGCUAUACAUCUCUUGUAUGAUUGCUGGGGCUUAAAUAUGGUUGCAUGUGGCAACUUUGACUUUUUCCAAUACUCUUCAGAAGGAGAGCCACAUAGUUUAAAUAUCUUGUGCAAUUGCUCCACCUCAGUGCGACCAGGCAUGAUUGGCUUCCCGGCCAAUAGCUCAGCAAGAAUGCAACCAGCACUCCAGAGGUCAACACCCACACCAUAGUCAGUAGCCCCAAGGAGCAGCUCUGGGGGUCGAUACCAUAA